rnacentral:rRNA from 1 species
UUUCUCAUUAAUAAUUUCUAAAGAUACAAUCCCAUCUGAUAUUGGACGCUAAGCAGGAUCAGACCUGGUUAGUACUUGGAUGAGAGACCACCUAGGAAGACCAGGUGCUGUAGGCG